GGAGACAGUACGUUCUUUGGAUCUGUACUUCAUCUCAGAGCCACGCACCAAGUUGCCAGACACAAAUCUCCGCCAAAGAGCUCCAAUCCGGACGCUGGACCACCUGACAGUCCCACGGGCUGUUCACCCGACUCACCUGCCUGCCUCCUGCCUCAAUGCCAGGAAUUUCGGACCACUCACCCGGACCACCCACCCCUCCACGCCACUACAGACCACCCGCAGCAAGAACUGCUGUUUCCACUGACCAACACCAGAUUGCUUACUUAGCCCAGGCUGCUUAAAACCCUUUUGGUUUAGUUGUGGCAUUUUGCACUUGUUAAACGCACAUUCCAGUUUCCUGUUUAUGAACACUAACUGAGAAA